rnacentral:rRNA from 1 species
AGUGAACGCUGGCGGUAGGCCUAACGCAUGCAAGUCGAACGGCAGCACAGUAAGAGCUUGCUCUUACGGGUGGCGAGUGGCGGACGGGUGAGGAAUACAUCGGAAUCUACUUUUUCGUGGGGGAUAACGUAGGGAAACUUACGCUAAUACCGCAUACGACCUACGGGUGAAAGCAGGGGAUCUUCGGACCUUGCGCGAUUGAAUGAGCCGAUGUCGGAUUAGCUAGUUGGCGGGGUAAAGGCCCACCAAGGCGACGAUCCGUAGCUGGUCUGAGAGGAUGAUCAGCCACACUGGAACUGAGACACGGUCCAGACUCCUACGGGAGGCAGCAGUGGGGAAUAUUGGACAAUGGGCGCAAGCCUGAUCCAGCCAUACCGCGUGGGUGAAGAAGGCCUUCGGGUUGUAAAGCCCUUUUGUUGGGAAAGAAAAGCAGCAGGUUAAUACCCCGCUGUUCUGACGGUACCCAAAGAAUAAGCACCGGCUAACUU